AACGAGCAUUCAAAGCGUUAAGACGUGUGGGGUAGUUCGUACUAAAAACGUGAAAAAAUCGAGAUAGAAAAAAUUAUAUAUAAAAUUUUGAAUAUAAAGAAAACAGGAAGAAGAUUCUUUUUUGUUGUUUUGAGAAUUAAAAAGUGUUAACUGUUGUAAAUUAUAAGAAAUAAACCUGAUUUUUACGAGUCAAACAAAAAAAAGUGUAAAAAAAAUUAAUGAGAUUUAUAAUAAAGAUUAUGUCAUUGCAAUUAAAGUAUACGUGAAAAAAAUCCAUAAGAUACAAAAGUAUCUUAGGAGCUAAAUCAUUAAAACUACGCACAAAUUAAGGCCAAUAACAACAGCAAUAAAAAACAAAUCAUAUCUUUAAUAAAUAGAAAAGAAAACAACAAAUUUUACAAAAAAAAAAAAUAAACGAAAAUAAAUUUUCGAAAAAAUAAAUAACAAAAGCAACAAAUUAAAAUCUAAAGAAAAAAAUAAAUUGAAAAAAAAA